GACGAACGCUGGCGGCGCGCUUAACACAUGCAAGUCGAACGGAAAGGCCUGCUUUCCCUUGUGGAUUGCGGGUACUCGAGUGGCGAACGGGUGAGUAACACGUGAGUGAUCUGCCCCCAACUUGGGUAUAAGCCUGGGAAACUGGGUCUAAUUCCCGAUAGGACUGCAGGGUGGUGCCUGUGGUGGAAAACGAUUUUCUAGUGGUUGGGGAUGAGCUCGCGGCCUAUCAGCUUGUUGGUGGGGUAAUGGCCUACGAAGGCGGCGACGGGUAGCCGGCCUGAGAGGGUGGACGGCCGAAGUGGGACUGAGAUACGGCCAAGACUCCUACGGGAGGCAGCAGUGGGGAAGAGUGGACAAUGGGCGGAAGCCUGAUGCAGCGACGCCGCGUGGGGGAUGCCGGCCUUCGGGUUGUAAACUCCUUUCGAACGAAAGGAAGCCACGUGGUUGGGAGGGUGGUGACGGUAGUGGUAGAAGAAGCACCGGCUAACUACGUG
rnacentral:rRNA from 1 species